UUUCUGCUUUUGUACAAUGAUACUUUGUGUAAAUAUAUGGAGAUAUUUUGUUUCCAGAGUUUAUACAAGUCUUUAAAGUGGAACUCAGUUCCAGAACAGAGGAAUCCAAGGGCAGCUCAGAGAACUGUUGAUUCAUCCAUGCUAACAUAUUUAUGGAACAUCCAUCAUGUAUUUAAAAGGUGGACAUCUUCCACUGUAUUUUGAGCAGGAGAAUAUUGAACAAUGAAGAACGGCAGCCAGUAGAAGUUAAUGACACAGCUAUACAACAACACUUAAAAUUUUAGUAACCUACACAUCAAUCACCUUUCAAAGAUGACUUUUCCUCUGACUAAAGAGCCCUGCAGGCUUAAAAUAUAUAAGAAAUGUUGAAAUACAAAGAAGACAUAAGGUUCUGAAGUCUUCACAUUAAUUCUUAACAUGAACUAAAUACUCAAAAUAUGACACAUUGGAUAUAGCAACUCCACAAGUGUAAACUACACUACAUAAACUAAACCAAACUACAUAAAUGAAAAUGUAGUCCAUGAAUACUACACCAGCAACAAUAUAAGAAGCAUUUU